UACGUAGGGUGCAAGCGUUAAUCGGAAUUACUGGGCGUAAAGCGUGCGCAGGCGGUGAUGUAAGACAGUUGUGAAAUCCCCGGGCUCAACCUGGGAACUGCAUCUGUGACUGCAUCGCUGGAGUGCGGCAGAGGGGGAUGGAAUUCCGCGUGUAGCAGUGAAAUGCGUAGAUAUGCGGAGGAACACCGAUGGCGAAGGCAAUCCCCUGGACCUGUACUGACGCUCAUGCACGAAAGGCGUGGGGAGCAAACAGG
rnacentral:rRNA from 1 species